rnacentral:rRNA from 1 species
AACGAACGCUGGCGGCAUGCCUAACACAUGCAAGUCGAACGAGACCUUCGGGUCUAGUGGCGCACGGGUGCGUAACGCGUGGGAAUCUGCCCUUCGGUUGGGAAUAACUGAGAGAAAUUUCAGCUAAUACCUUAUAAUGUCUUCGGACCAAAGAUUUAUCGCCGAGGGAUGAGCCCGCGUAGGAUUAGGUAGUUGGUGGGGUAAUGGCCUACCAAGCCGACGAUCCUUAGCUGGUCUGAGAGGAUGAUCAGCCACACUGGGACUGAGACACGGCCCAGACUCCUACGGGAGGCAGCAGUGGGGAAUAUUGGACAAUGGGCGAAAGCCUGAUCCAGCAAUGCCGCGUGGGUGAUGAAGGCCUUAGGGUUGUAAAGCUCUUUUACCCGGGAUGAUAAUGACAGUACCGGGAGAAUAAGCUCCGGCUGACUCCGUGCCAGCAGCCGCCGUAA